rnacentral:lncRNA from 1 species
GGUACUCUUAUCGUUGUUCUGUCUGUUGUUUAAAAACGGAAUAAAAUACUUAUAUUUCAUCCCGUAACUAAAUCAACUAACGUUAGCUAAAAAAUUAAAUAAAUAAAAAGGUGUGAUAACGGAUACAGACGGAGGGGACGUUUAAUGUUUGAGUUUGAAAGACAAGUACAGCAGAUGGCAGUAGAGCGACGCGACUAGCUAAGUCCAAUGCCCUGUCCUGUCUGAGAGAGAAGGACAGUGACGAAGAGAACAUCUUCAUUGUCCCUCCUCCUCCUCCUCCUCCUCACACCCAGCAGCAGAGCAACAACGCAGACAGGAAGUCAUUGUUGAGGCGUACUGGUAGAAAGGCCCAGCGUAUCGUGAGCACCAGUGAGAGUGAUGAAGAGUCAACGACCACCAGCCAACCCAACCCUAAACGCUCCACAGCUAGAGACAAGACACACACACAUCCGACUCCAGGGAAGUUUGUGACGCAUCGUAGGGGAGCAACAACCGCCAAACACAAAGCCCCCAAGAGGAAACUCAGAGUCCUGCUGGCCCAGCUCAGCUCAAACUCCUCUGAUGACUUCGUCCAUGAUGGAAGAGAAGAAGGGGGAGUGGUCCAGCGUGCCUUCCCUUGCCGUGCCAAACAGGGGCGCCGCCGUGCCCUGGCCAACGCUGACAGCUCGUUGGCCGACCCGGGGAACAGCGGAGUAGUAACCAACGGUUACGGUUUCCUGCGAGAUAUCUCUCUGAAUGAUUCGCCCGAGCGCCCCUCGGGACCCUGCCACAGGAAACCUCUCUUCUCCUCCACCCCUAGCUCACGUUCCCUCCGUCCUCCCAUCUCUCCCUCCGCCAGCGACGUCAUCUCUCUGAGCGCCGCCCGGGAGGAGCUGGCCGUUCCAGAGGACCCGCUCCGUCCCUCUCCGUCUGCCUCGCUCGCAGAUCCACGUCCUGGGCAACGCCAGCUGUCGUCCCUGUGCCGGGAAGUGGGACCAGAGGUAGGAAACUGCGAAGGAUCAACCAGCGUGAGGAGUAACAGGAGCCGGAAUGGAGACUCGGCGAUCCAAGAUGGCGUCGGUGAGCAGCUGAGCCUGAGCCUGUUCUCCGCGGUUGCCUGUGAGCGGACUGGCUCAGGCACGGCCGGGGAGGAAACUGAGGACGGCAGCCAUUUUGUGUCGGCGACGACGGCGGGACGGGAUUGGCUGGCCGAGGUAGUGAAGGAGAGAUGUCUGACGCGGCGCUGUGUCGUACGGCUAGAGAGAGAGUACAAACUGCACCGCGACGCCACCUAUUCGUCCUGCGUCGACCCUACGAGGUCACGCUACGACGGCGGGUCCGUCGACCACUCG